CAAGAGUGAUCCCAAGCUAAGCUCAAAAAACCCUGAUAACAUCAGCUGAAAACUAAAGACACAGGAGUAAUCUUGAAAACAGCCAGAAAAAAUGAUGCAUCACUAAAACAGGAGCAAAGAUUCAAAUCAUUGCAGAUUUCUUAUCAGAAAUCACAGAGGCCAGAAGAAAGUAGCUUAUCAUUUUUAAAGUACUGAAGGAAAACAACAAAAAUGACAAUUGUCAACCAGAUAUUUACAUGCAGCAAAUAAUUUUCUGUCUUUCAACAAUGAAGGUGAUAUAGAGACAUUCUCAGAUGGGAGAAAACUAAGGGAAUUUAGAACCUGCCCACCUGGACAUCCCUAGUACUUCCAGCUCUCUGCAUGUAUGGGCAAAGUGGCUCCAGAACUCAAGGGCAGCCUAGAUACUGAUGAAGAGCUGCAGGUACUGGCUGUUGAAGGAGUGGAAACUGGGCCAAAAUCAGACAGUGCCAGACAGUGUUGACAAGAAGAUGAAAAGGACUACAAAGAUAUAGUAAACGGAAAAUUUGGAUUAGUGAAUCUACUAAAUAAGAUGAGAUACAUCAAGGGACAUGGUGACAGAAUCAACUCAGAUUUAAUCCACCGAAUCUGCUUGCCAUGGUGAGUCGGAGGAAAAGCAGAAACACAGAGGCCAGGAGGAAGGGCUGAGAGCCUAGGCAAGGGAGGGAUGCCUAGAAAAAGCCAAGGCUGUAGAAGCCCUCUGGGAUGGCUGGAUCCACAGCAGGACAUGGAAGAGAAACUGCUCAGGGUGGAGGGAGUCAUAAUGGAACAUUUCCACAAGGUCAGGGAAAGCUGUGGCUCAG
rnacentral:lncRNA from 1 species